rnacentral:tRNA from 1 species
UCUAAUAUGGCAGAUUAGUGCAAUGGAUUUAAACCCCAUAAAUAAAAUUACUUUUUAUUAGAA